UACAGAGGGGGCAAGCGUUGUCCGGAAUUAUUGGGCGUAAAGAGCUUGUAGGCGGUUUGUCGCGUCUGCUGUGAAAUUUCGGGGCUCAACCCCGAACUUGCAGUGGGUACGGGCAGACUAGAGUGUGGUAGGGGAGACUGGAAUUCCUGGUGUAGCGGUGAAAUGCGCAGAUAUCAGGAGGAACACCGGUGGCGAAGGCAGGUCUCUGGGCCACUACUGACGCUGAGACGCGAAAGCGUGGGGAGCAAACAGG
rnacentral:rRNA from 1 species